CUCCCGGAUGUUAGCGGCGGACGGGUGAGUAACACGUGGGUAACCUGCCUGUAAGACUGGGAUAACUCCGGGAAACCGGAGCUAAUACCGGAUAGUUCCUUGAACCGCAUGGUUCAAGGAUGAAAGACGGUUUCGGCUGUCACUUACAGAUGGACCCGCGGCGCAUUAGCUAGUUGGUGAGGUAACGGCUCACCAAGGCGACGAUGCGUAGCCGACCUGAGAGGGUGAUCGGCCACACUGGGACUGAGACACGGCCCAGACUCCUACGGGAGGCAGCAGUAGGGAAUCUUCCGCAAUGGACGAAAGUCUGACGGAGCAACGCCGCGUGAGUGAUGAAGGUUUUCGGAUCGUAAAGCUCUGUUGUUAGGGAAGAACAAGUGCAAGAGUAACUGCUUGCACCUUGACGGUACCUAACCAGAAAGCCACGGCUAACUACGUGCCAGCAGCCGCGGUAAUACGUAGGUGGCAAGCGUUGUCCGGAAUUAUUGGGCGUAAAGGGCUCGCAGGCGGUUUCUUAAGUCUGAUGUGAAAGCCCCCGGCUCAACCGGGGAGGGUCAUUGGAAACUGGGAAACUUGAGUGCAGAAGAGGAGAGUGGAAUUCCACGUGUAGCGGUGAAAUGCGUAGAGAUGUGGAGGAACACCAGUGGCGAAGGCGACUCUCUGGUCUGUAACUGACGCUGAGGAGCGAAAGCGUGGGGAGCGAACAGGAUUAGAUACCCUGGUAGUCCACGCCGUAAACGAUGAGUGCUAAGUGUUAGGGGGUUUCCGCCCCUUAGUGCUGCAGCUAACGCAUUAAGCACUCCGCCUGGGGAGUACGGUCGCAAGACUGAAACUCAAAGGAAUUGACGGGGGCCCGCACAAGCGGUGGAGCAUGUGGUUUAAUUCGAAGCAACGCGAAGAACCUUACCAGGUCUUGACAUCCUCUGACAACCCUAGAGAUAGGGCUUUCCCUUCGGGGACAGAGUGACAGGUGGUGCAUGGUUGUCGUCAGCUCGUGUCGUGAGAUGUUGGGUUAAGUCCCGCAACGAGCGCAACCCUUGAUCUUAGUUGCCAGCAUUCAGUUGGGCACUCUAAGGUGACUGCCGGUGACAAACCGGAGGAAGGUGGGGAUGACGUCAAAUCAUCAUGCCCCUUAUGACCUGGGCUACACACGUGCUACAAUGGACAGAACAAAGGGCUGCGAGACCGCAAGGUUUAGCCAAUCCCACAAAUCUGUUCUCAGUUCGGAUCGCAGUCUGCAACUC
rnacentral:rRNA from 1 species